rnacentral:tRNA from 1 species
UACAUUUUAGUAUAAGAGGUACGGAAAUUUUUGAUAUUUCUAGGAGCGGUUUGAUUCCGCUAAAUGUAA